rnacentral:rRNA from 1 species
UACGGAGGGGGCUAGCGUUGUUCGGAAUUACUGGGCGUAAAGCGUGCGCAGGCGGCGAUCUACGUCUGGGGUGAAAGCCCGGAGCUCAACUCCGGGACUGCCUUGGAUACGGGAUCGCUUGAGGAUUGGAGAGGCAAGGGGAAUUCCACGUGUAGCGGUGAAAUGCGUAGAUAUGUGGAGGAACACCUGUGGCGAAGGCGCCUUGCUGGCCAAUUUCUGACGCUGAGGCGCGAAAGCGUGGGGAGCAAACAGG